GUCCCGCGGUCCUCCGAGCCCGCGCGUCCUGGCCGUCCCGCCCGCCGUCCGCCGUCCGCCGUCCGCCCGGCCCUCGCCCCCUCCCGAGCUGUCCAGCGCAGCCGCCCUCUACCCCGGAUCCAGAAGUCCCCUCCCCGCUGGCUCCCGGACUCCCCGCCUUAAAGGCACAAGCUCCUUUUGUCUGGGCAUCCCCCUCCCCCUCCCCAGAAGUGGGGGCCGAGUUGCCCACUCCCCUUCCUAGCAGCGGGUUAUUUCCAGCACGGAGCAGCUGCCCAAGUUACCUGGGAGAUGGGAAAAUCGUGUGAAAGCUGGUUAACCCUUUGAGGAUUAGAGUAAUGGUGGAAGCAGAAAGGAGAAGGAGUUUCACUCCAGGAUGUACGUAGGACCAGCCCUCCCUGCAGUCCUGUCCUUCAAGACUCAAGUCUUGUCCACUCCAAAUCACCACUGGGAUUCCUAAGUCCAGGACAGAGCUUCAGGCAAGGAAAAGAAGAGUUGGGAAAGCCAGUUUCCAACAUUUAUCAGCCACGUGUACCUGCAAACUAUAUACCUUGGGUAAAUCAUCAAUCUCUUGAAAUGGGAAUAAAACCAUCUGCCUUGUCUUUCUUACAGGGUUUUCAGAAUCAGAUAGAGAAAUGUUUGUUAUAAUGUUUGAAAAUGGG
rnacentral:lncRNA from 1 species